rnacentral:rRNA from 1 species
GACGAACGCUGGCGGCGUGCUUAACACAUGCAAGUCGAACGGAAAGGCCCUGCUUUUGUGGGGUGCUCGAGUGGCGAACGGGUGAGUAACACGUGAGUAACCUGCCCUUGACUUUGGGAUAACUUCAGGAAACUGGGGCUAAUACCGGAUAGGAGCUCCUGCUGCAUGGUGGUGGUUGGAAAGUUUCGGCGGUUGGGGAUGGACUCGCGGCUUAUCAGCUUGUUGGUGGGGUAGUGGCUUACCAAGGCUUUGACGGGUAGCCGGCCUGAGAGGGUGACCGGCCACAUUGGGACUGAGAUACGGCCCAGACUCCUACGGGAGGCAGCAGUGGGGAAUAUUGCACAAUGGGCGGAAACCUGAUGCAGCAACGCCGCGUGCGGGAUGACGGCCUUCGGGUUGUAAACCGCUUUCGCCUGUGACGAAGCGUGAGUGACGGUAAUGGGUAAAGAAGCACCGGCUAACUACGUG